UUCAUCUUGUCAGGAUUUUAAAUCACCUAAUCAUAGCCAGUUAGUUAGUCACCUAAUCAAGUCAACAAAUUUAACCUUCAUUUCAGCUAAUAUCCUUCAUCCGGUAGUUGGAUCUCCAAUGCCUUUCAUCUAUUACAUUUGGUCCUCGUCAUAGGUAUGAAAGUUACAUGUAUGCCGUAUAUGUAUUGCAUAUCUCAUUAAUAGUCUUAUACCAAGAAGCUACUAUGAAUUAACUAUUUAAGACGAUCCACAGCCUGGGUAACAGAGUUCACCGCCCAGGAAUGGCGAGGGAAACCUUUCAUGGAGACUACAUAACAACCUCUUAACAUCUCAACUUAAUCUCUAUACAUAUUCUGAAACAGAGAACGGAAAUUCCGCUUCUUGAGAGUAACAAACGCAACGUGGCAUCGUGUCUUAUUUCCCGGUUUGCAUGCGAGCAAAAAGCAAUCGACUCGGAAUGAAAGUUUCACACACGGUCCAUGUGUCUACCUCUUAACGACCAACCACUCCGCUCCGUAGGCACGUACGCUCGAGACCUAUUACGCUCGAGCGUCAAGCCCCUCGAAGGUCACGUAUCCGCGGAGUUUAAUGAUUUACAAGCAACGGACGACGGGAUUACGUAAAAAGGAAAAAAAAAAAAACAAAGAAAGAAGAAAAAUUCGCCGCGAUGUGACAAACGGAUUACAACGUGGCGGAGAGGUACGUGGACGGAAUAAUCGCAUGGGCGGAAGUCAUCUUCUUACCCGUCGGUGUCGCAGCCGUCGAGGAACGGUUUCAGACAUGGCUCGUUCUGAUCGUGUUCCAGACCGUACAACUCGGAAAGAGAGAGCCUGCCGUCGUUGUCACUGUCCAAGUGUCCGAACAUCCACCUGACCUCGCUCUGGCAACCGAUGGGGAAGUGACCUGGAAAUGGUGCGGGAAUGAAAUAUGAAUUCCGAUGGCCGCGCGUCUCUGCGGACAGACGCCACCAAUGAAAUAUAAAUAUCGAUGCAUCUACAGUGAUAAGAUCAAAUGGAGAUGUUACAAACUGGAAACAGUAUCGACGGAGAUAGAGCCGAGUAAUCGGUAGAUCUGAAGUGGAAGCGAUUCCUUUGAACGGGACAAUUCCGUGCUGGUACGAAAGCGAUUGUACCGAAGUCGAAUAGCGUGCAGUGAUGUGAGGCAGUUCCCGCAGUUCCAAACUACGCCGGAUCGUGAACGUUGUAAUGUCCAGAGGCCACCCUUUUCGUGCGGAGCAAUUAGUCUCUUGUAUAUUCAACUCGAUCGUCGAGUUUCUAUAACGAGAGACUUGGUCAUUCUCGACGGGUCUAUUGCCAACUAUAUUUUUCCAAAUGAUGUUAAUCGUAUCGCUAGUCAACGAGAUAAGACAAUCCUAUCAGUUUCUCGAACAGCGAAAAGAUUUUGUAAAAAUUUGCUGUCUUCUUAGGACCGUUCAUCAAUUUCCUGUAUCGUGGAAUUUAAGUAGCUUAUAUUUAUAAUUAGAGCACUUUUAGCGAUAAAAAUGUGAAACAAGGAAUUUAGAGAAAGGAUGGUGUACAGUGAUAAAAUCUAAAAUUAAUUAUCAAAUAUUUUUUAAAUCUUCGAAAUUUUAAUUCAAGAAAAUUCCAUUUAUCGGACAUUUGUCCAUAAAUAUCAAAGCACAUCGUUACAGAUAUUACAACAAAAUUUGAAUCAAUUUUUCUCAUUACGUUUUUCAAAUAUGUCAAGUUCUUUUUGAUCGCGAGAAGUGUAGUAUGGGUUCAGAAGUUGGGACACGCAUGUCAUGUCCAUACUCGUGACUGAAAUUAUUAUUAAAUGAAAACGUUGUACUCGUUGACGAAUUAUAUAUAUUUUCGAUAAAAAAAAACUUUGUUCCAUAACACGGACACAGUUAGCGUUUAUUGACAGAAAAAUCAACAGUAAUAGACCAUGACACUAUAUCUAUAAUAUCGAGACAGAUGAUAAUUGCAUCACGAAUUAUUUUUUAUAAAUUUAAUCAAUUUUAUUAAUUUUACAAAAUAGCGAAAUUAUCGUAGUGCCUGUUCUAGUUACAUCGAUGACUUUGGCUUGUUACAAGAGUCUCGCUAUCGGUUCUAGGGUCAUCGCGACUGAAUUACUCGGUUUGAUGAUCGUUCUA